rnacentral:tRNA from 1 species
GACACCUGUGAAAACCAGAUUAUUUCGA